rnacentral:rRNA from 2 species
UACGUAGGGGGCAAGCGUUAUCCGGAUUUACUGGGUGUAAAGGGAGCGUAGACGGUAAAGCAAGUCUGAAGUGAAAGCCCGCGGCUCAACUGCGGGACUGCUUUGGAAACUGUUUAACUGGAGUGUCGGAGAGGUAAGUGGAAUUCCUAGUGUAGCGGUGAAAUGCGUAGAUAUUAGGAGGAACACCAGUGGCGAAGGCGACUUACUGGACGAUAACUGACGUUGAGGCUCGAAAGCGUGGGGAGCAAACAGG